CCUUACUCUUGCAGAGCUGGGGCAUGUUCUACAUGCGCUGGCCAGAUUGUGUCGGGUGCUGUUGAUCAGUCUGAUGGAUCCUUGAUGAAUCACAGGUGGAGAAAGGUUACCCGCUGGACAUGCAUCUCGUAUCCAAGGGAUUUCUCAUGCUUAUAGGUUUCGGUUGUCGCCGAGAGAAUUCUUUUGGAUGUCCUUUAAAAAUCUCAGUACCAAUGCUGAUACUGUAAAGUAUUGCCCUCUGAACUAUUUGGUUCUGAUUUGAUUCAAUUUUUGAUCCUGCUUAAUUUCUCUCUUA